rnacentral:rRNA from 1 species
UUGGGCGUAAGCGCGCGCAGGCGGUUUCUUAAGUCUGAUGUGAAAGCCCACGGCUUAACCGUGGAGGGUCAUUGGAAACUGGGAGACUUGAGUGCAGAAGAGGAAAGUGGAAUUCCAAGUGUAGCGGUGAAAUGCGUAGAGAUUUGGAGGAACACCAGUGGCGAAGGCGACUUUCUGGUCUGCAACUGACGCUGAGGCGCGAAAGCAUGGGGAGCAAACAGGAUUAGAUACCCUGGUAGUCCAUGCCGUAAACGAUGAGUGCUAAGUGUUAGGGGGUUUCCGCCCCUUAGUGCUGCAGCUAACGCAUUAAGCACUCCGCCUGGGGAGUACGACCGCAAGGUUGAAACUCAAAGGAAUUGACGGGGGCCCGCACAAGCGGUGGAGCAUGUGGUUUAAUUCGAAGCAACGCGAAGAACCUUACCAGGUCUUGACAUCCCAGUGACCACUCUAGAGAUAGAGUUUUCCCUUCGGGGACAUUGGUGACAGGUGGUGCAUGGUUGUCGUCAGCUCGUGUCGUGAGAUGUUGGGUUAAGUCCCGCAACGAGCGCAACCCUUGAUCUUAGUUGCCAUCAUUUAGUUGGGCACUCUAAGGUGACUGCCGGUGACAAACCGGAGGAAGGUGGGGAUGA